GACGAACGCUGGCGGCGUGCCUAAUACAUGCAAGUAGGACGCAGUUGCGAACGGGUGAGUAACGCGUAGGUAACUGCCUAUUAAAAGGGGAUAACUAUUGGAAACGAUAGCUAAUACCGCAUACUAGUAGAUGGACCUGAGUUGUAUUAGAUAGUAGGUAGGGUAAUGGCCUACCUAGGCGACGAUACCUAGCCGACCUGAGAGGGGGAGCGGCCAACAUGGGGCUGAGUCAUGGCCCAGACUCCUACUGGAGGCAGCAGUAGGGAUGCGUCGGCAAGUGGGGGCACCCGGACCGAGCAACGCCGCGGGAGUGAAGAAGGGUUUCGGAUCUUAAAGCUCUGUUGUUAAGGAAGCGGUACUUAACCAGAAAGGGACGGCUAACGACGUGCCAGCCGCCGCGGUAAUUC
rnacentral:rRNA from 1 species